rnacentral:rRNA from 1 species
AUUGAACGCUGGCGGCAUGCCUUACACAUGCAAGUCGAACGGCAGCACGGGAGCAAUCCUGGUGGCGAGUGGCGAACGGGUGAGUAAUAUAUCGGAACGUGCCCAGUCGUGGGGAUAACGUAGCGAAAGCUACGCUAAUACCGCAUACGAUCUAUGGAUGAAAGCGGGGGAGUCGCAAGACCUCGCGCGAUUGGAGCGGCCGAUAUCAGAUUAGGUAGUUGGUGAGGUAAAGGCUCACCAAGCCGACGAUCUGUAGCUGGUCUGAGAGGACGACCAGCCACACUGGGACUGAGACACGGCCCAGACUCCUACGGAGGCAGCAGUGGGGAAUUUUGGACAAUGGGCGCAAGCCUGAUCCAGCAAUGCCGCGUGCAGGAUGGAAGGCCUUCGGUUGUAACUAGCUUUGUACGGUAACG